rnacentral:rRNA from 1 species
AACGGCGGCCGUAACUAUAACGGUCCUAAGGUAGCGAAAUUCCUUGUCAGGUAAGUUCUGACCCGCAUGAAAGGCGUAAUGAUUUGGGCACUGUCUCAACAGCCCGCCCGGCGAAAUUGUAGUACCGGUGAAGAUGCCGGUUACCCGCGACAAGACGGAAAGACCCCAUGGAGCUUUACUGUAGCCUAAUAUUGGGUUUCGAUGUUGCAUGCACAGGAUAGAUGGGACACAGGGAAACAAUCGCUUUGGCGGUUGCGGAGUGGCCGUUGGGAUACCAUCCUUGCGAUAUUGGAAUUCUAACCUGCGGCUCUGAAUCGAGUCGGGGGACAUUGUUAGGUGGGCAGUUUGACUGGGGCGGUCGCCUCCUAAAAAGUAACGGAGGCGUUCAAAGGUUCGCUCAGCUUGAACGGAAAUCAAGCAAAAGAGUGCAAACGCAGAAGCGAGCCUAACUGCGAGACUGACGGGUCGAGCAGUAACGAAAGUUGGAGUUAGUGAUCCGGUGGUAUGUGAGUGGAAAUGCCAUCGCUCAACGGAUAAAAGUUACCCUGGGGAUAACAGGCUGAUCUCCCCCAAGAGUCCACAUCGACGGGGAGGUUUGGCACCUCGAUGUCGGCUCAUCGCAUCCUGGGGCUGAAGUAGGUCCCAAGGGUUGGGCUGUUCGCCCAUUAAAGCGGUACGCGAGCUGGGUUCAGAACGUCGUGAGACAGUUCGGUCCCUAUCUGUCGUGGGCGCAGGAUAUUUGAUGGGAGCUGUCCCUAGUACGAGAGGACCGGGACGGACGUACCUCUGGCGCACCAGUUGUUCCGCCAGGAGCAUAGCUGGGCAACUACGUACGGAUCGGAUAAACGCUGAAAGCAUCUAAGCGUGAAGCCGACCCAAAGAUAAGAUAUCCCACUGAUUUGAUCAGGUAAGACCCCUUGAAGACUACAAGGUCGAUAGGCACGAUGUGUAAGUGGAGCGAUCCAUUCAGCAAGCGUGUACUAAUAGGUCGAGGGCUUGACCAC